rnacentral:rRNA from 1 species
AAAUUGAAGAGUUUGAUCAUGGCUCAGAUUGAACGCUGGCGGCAGGCCUAACACAUGCAAGUCGAGCGGAAACGACACUAACAAUCCUUCGGGUGCGUUAAUGGGCGUCGAGCGGCGGACGGGUGAGUAAUGCCUAGGAAAUUGCCUUGAUGUGGGGGAUAACCAUUGGAAACGAUGGCUAAUACCGCAUGAUGCCUACGGGCCAAAGAGGGGGACCUUCGGGCCUCUCGCGUCAAGAUAUGCCUAGGUGGGAUUAGCUAGUUGGUGAGGUAAUGGCUCACCAAGGCGACGAUCCCUAGCUGGUCUGAGAGGAUGAUCAGCCACACUGGAACUGAGACACGGUCCAGACUCCUACGGGAGGCAGCAGUGGGGAAUAUUGCACAAUGGGCGAAAGCCUGAUGCAGCC